rnacentral:rRNA from 1 species
CGGGGGGGCAAGCGUUGUUCGGAAUUACUGGGCGUAAAGGGCUCGUAGGCGGCCAACUAAGUCGGACGUGAAAUCCCCAGGCUCAACCUGGGAACUGCGUCCGAUACUGAUUGGCUUGAAUCCGGGAGAGGGAUGCAGAAUUCCAGGUGUAGCGGUGAAAUGCGUAGAUAUCUGGAGGAAUACCGGUGGCGAAGGCGGCAUCCUGGACCGGCAUUGACGCUGAUGAGCGAAAGCUAGGGGAGCAAACGGGAUUAGAUACCCCGGUAGUCCUAGCCCUAAACGAUGAAUGCUUGGUGUGACGGGUAUCGAUCCCUGUCGUGCCGAAGCUAACGCAUUAAGCAUUCCGCCUGGGGAGUACGGUCGCAAGGCUG